AGUGGCGGACGGGUGAGUAACACGUAAGAAUUUGCCUCUAGGAGGGGGACAACAGCUGGAAACGGCUGCUAAUACCCCAUAUGCUUUCGAGUGAAAUGAAGUUUUUCGCCUAGAGAGAAGCUUGCGGCUGAUUAGCUUGUUGGUAAGGUAAUGGCUUACCAAGGCGACGAUCAGUAUCUGGUUUGAGAGGACGAUCAGACACACUGGAACUGAGACACGGUCCAGACUCCUACGGGAGGCAGCAGUGGGGAAUUUUCCGCAAUGGGCGAAAGCCUGACGGAGCAAUCUCGCGUGAGGGAUGACUGCCUAUGGGUUGUAAACCUCUUUUUUCAGGGAGGAAUCAAUGACGUGUACCUGAAGAAUAAGCAUCGGCUAACUCCGUGCCAGCAGCCGCGGUAAGACGGAGGAUGCAAGUGUUAUCCGGAAUCACUGGGCGUAAAGCGUCUGUAGGUGGUUUACUAAGUCAACUGUUAAAUCUUGAAGCUCAACUUCAAAAUCGCAGUCGAAACUAGUAGACUAGAGUAUAGUAGGGGUAAAGGGAAUUUCCAGUGGAGCGGUGAAAUGCGUAGAGAUUGGAAAGAACACCGAUGGCGAAGGCACUUUACUGGGCUAUUACUGACACUCAGAGACGAAAGCUAGGGUAGCAAAUGGGAUUAGAUACCCCAGUAGUCCUAGCCGUAAACAAUGGAUACUAGAUGUU
rnacentral:rRNA from 1 species